rnacentral:RNase_P_RNA from 1 species
GGGUGAACGGUCGCCCUAUCUGUCGCCGAUCCUUCGGGGUAGGUGUGGAUGGGGAGGAAAGUCCGGACUCCGUAAGGCAGAACGCCCUCGUAAGCGCAUGGCGUGAUUCGAGGGGACCUCCCGGCAAGCGGGAGGGACGGAAAGUGCCACAGAAAUCAGACCGCCCGUCUUCGCCUUCGGUUACGACGCGGCAGGCUUUCGAGCCGGCCGGGAACGAGCGGAACGAAGACAGGUAAGGGUGAAAGGGUGGUGUAAGAGACCACCGGCCACACUCGAGAGAGCGUGGCGCACGGUAAACCCCGUUCGGAGCAAGAUCGAAUAGGAAGCCAUGGGUUGCCUGCCUUAUGCCGGCUUUGCCGGUAUGGCUUCGGGUAGAUCGCAUAAGAUAUAUGACCGUAACCAUCGCUUCGGCGCUGGAUACAGAAUCCGGCUUAUGAUCCUU